UGGGGAAUUUUGCACAAUGGGGGAAACCCUGAUGCAGCGACGCCGCGUGUACGAUGAAGAUCUUCGGAUUGUAAAGUACUGUCCUUGGUGAAGAUAAUGACAGUAACUAAGAAGCAAGCCCUGGCUAAAUACGUGCCAGCAGCCGCGGUAAUACGUAUGGGGCAAGCGUUGUCCGGAAUUAUUGGGCGUAAAGGGUACGUAGGCGGUUUAAUAAGUCCUAAUUAAAAGGCUAUGGCUCAACCAUAGUAUGGUUAGGAAACUGUUGAACUUGAGUAGAUGAGGGGAAAGUGGAAUUCCAUGUGUAGCGGUGAAAUGCGUAGAUAUAUGGAGGAACACCAAUGGCGAAGGCAACUUUCUGGAAUCAAACUGACGCUGAGGUACGAAGGCGUGGGGAGCAAACAGG
rnacentral:rRNA from 1 species